AACGUAGGACGCAAGCGUUAUCCGGAGUUACUGGGCGUAAAGCGCGCGCAGGCGGCUGGAUGCGUCUGAUGUGAAAUCUCCUCGCUCAACGGGGAGAGGCCAUUAGAAACGGUCCGGCUGGAGGGCAGUAGAGGCAGGCGGAAUUCCGGGUGGAGUGGUGAAAUGCGUAGAGAUCCGGAGGAACACCAGAGGCGAAGGCGGCCUGCUGGGCUGCACCUGACGCUGAGCCGCGAAAGCCAGGGGAGCGAACGGG
rnacentral:rRNA from 1 species